GUCUGCGGCUAUACCACCCUGAAUGCACCCGAUCUCCUCUGAUCUCAGAAGCUAAGCAGGGGUGGGCCUGGUUAGUACUUGGAUGGGAGACUGCCUGAGAAUACCAGGUGCUGUAGGCA
rnacentral:rRNA from 1 species